ACCAGCAAGAGCCGAGGAAAGGUAGUUGCCAUUCGGGUCUGGGACUUCGUAUGGUGGGCGUUCUGAAAAACUCCCAUUCCAAAUGCCAUGACCUAUAUAGAAUCAACACUAUUUUAGUGGACUAAGUUGAGCAAAACAGUCUUGAAAGGCCCUACCUCUUCUCAUUGAGGCCACGCCUCUUCUGGUUGAGGCCACGCCCCACUCAGGACUCUGGCAUACUGAUCCUUUUAUUUGAGAAGACAAGGUCAAAGAAGCACACCUUAAACAUGAAGAGGAAGUGAUCAGCAAGUGGUCCAGCAGUGCCACUAAUGCUGUUGCUGUUCCACAUCGUAGCCCAAAUUCAUAUUGCACAGCAUCUAUUAUUACUCUUUGUUCCUAUUUCAGUAGUGCCUAGGGGCCCCGAUCAAGAUGACGGCCCCAAUGUGCUAGGUGUUUGACAUAUAUAUAGACACACUUCCCUGAUCCCAAAUAUACUAAAAUCUAAAAAAAAUAUCUCAGCAAGCUCAGAAUGAAAAUUUGAUCUCGACAUCAUCUUGUGACAGGCUAAGACUAUGAAUUAGAGGUAUGAAUUACACUGCAUUUCUAGGCCUUCCCCAUAACUCUGAACAUGCUGUUUAACUCACUCCCUUACUUAGCUGCAGGGGGUGGCAGAUGAAUACUUAGGUGACCAGACAGCAAGUCUGAAAAAUCAGGACAGAGCAUGGGGGCUAAUAGGAGUCUAUAUAAGAAAAAGACCCCAAAAUCAGGACUGUCCCUAUAAAAUUGGGACAUCUGGUCACCCUAUGAACACUAAUGUCUCACUUUCUAGUUGCUGAAUGGAGGGAAGAACUUCUCUUGGCUGCAGGAUUGAAGUUUCUCUCUUGCUUCCUACCACCUUCAUGUCUGGGAGUCCCAGUUUAGGACGCACAUUCACAAGACAGACCUUAUUGCUAGUAAGAUGGGCAGAAGCGGAGGUUCGAUUUACAUGCUGAGCAAAUCACUAUGAAGCUGUUCCUUCAGGUAAACAAGUCAUUAUCUGCCUCCAGCGACACAACAGCGAAAGUCUGAUGUUUUCAAAGAUUCUAUUACACCCCAAGCUAGGUUCCUGCUGAGGUCAUCCAAGUUGGGAAUUAUGAUGUGGGUCAGUCCUAACAUGGUGGAACUGAUAUUGCUACUUUAAACAUCAGCAUUGAAGAGGAGGUUCCCAAGUGUUCAUGGCUUCCAUUUAAUUUUUUAACUUCUAUUGGUGAACUAUGGUAUUAUUCAUACCUGAUUAUACACUACCUCUCACCUUACAUAAUCACUUAUACCUGUGCAAAUGAGUGCAAGGUAAACGAGUGCACUCACAGUGUUUUCAAGCCAGUUUGCCCAUUUGUAAAUGACAACACAAGAUGCAAGACAAAGAAGAAUUAGGUCAGAAUGGUUACAAACAAACUCCAUGGACUGUUGGAAACCACUUUGCUCUUAAGUUUCAUGAGCUAGGCAAAGUAGCAUACGCUCCAGUUUGCAAUGUAACCCACGAAUCAGUCAUGGGAAUGAAUGGGACAGAUUUUCAAAAGUAGCCUGUAAUAGGUGCCCAAAGUUUCUCAUUUGCUCACAAAAAAGCAAUUUGCACAUGACCAUCAGGCAGUCAGACAUUAAAUGCUAUUUGUACAUGAAAAUCAGUUUAUGGAGCAAUAAAGAUUAAGUGUCCCAAAACUAGUGACAUAGCAGUAUUGUAUUGUAUUGCACUGCUGAUGUGUUAGUUAAACUGCAUUAAUUAAAGUGUCUUCACUAACACACAAAAAACUCCAGCAACCUCUUUUUUCCCUCGUCUAGAUAAGGCAUUGGUAAGAUCAUUUCCUAAAAGCCUCUAUGUGUCCCUUUGCUCAAAUUUCAAUCCAGUAAGGAACAUUUUUUCAAGCCUGUCAGAUAGGCAUUGUGAUUUCAAUAGAGCAGUUCUUAGGAAUUACUAUAGUUUUAUAGUGAAGCUACAGAAAAUAACUGUACAACUUAGAAACGAUUCUUGGAGGAAUCUCAGUGACUCUCAGCCUUUCCAGACUACUGUACUCCUUUCAGGAGUCUGAUUUCUCUUGCGUA